rnacentral:rRNA from 1 species
UACGGGGGGAGCAAGCGUUGUUCGGAUUUACUGGGCGUAAAGGGCGCGUAGGCGGCCACCGCAAGUCGGUUGUGAAAUCUCUGGGCUUAACCCAGAAAGGUCAACCGAUACUGCGGGGCUAGAGUGCAGAAGGGGCAACUGGAAUUCUCGGUGUAGCGGUGAAAUGCGUAGAGAUCGGGAGGAAUACCUGUGGCGAAGGCGGCCUACUGGGCCGGACCUGACGCUGAGACGCGAAGGCGUGGGGAGCGAACGGG